UUUAUACGUUAUUUUAUUGACUCGUUGCCGAAGCGCAGAGUAUAAUAAGUUCGUAAUCAAGCAAUCAUCGCACUGAAACAGUGGAUAAUAAAUAAAUUGAGCCAUUUCUACAUCCCACACAUCACGUAAGCAAUGGCGGUCUGCGUAAACGAAAUGGCCAAAAUAAAGAAAGUUCGCGGGUCAUACCUACAUUGCAACGCAAUCAAUGAAGACUGACAUGCAACGAGGCAUUAUUGAGGUGUGGUAAUGAUCCUUCCGCAGGUUCACCUACGGAAA
rnacentral:misc_RNA from 1 species